rnacentral:rRNA from 1 species
AACGCUGGCGGCGUGCUUAACACAUGCAAGUCGAACGGAAAGGCCCUGCUUUUGUGGGGUGCUCGAGUGGCGAACGGGUGAGUAACACGUGAGUAACCUGCCCUUGACUUUGGGAUAACUUCAGGAAACUGGGGCUAAUACCGGAUAGGAGCUCCUGCUGCAUGGUGGGGGUUGGAAAGUUUCGGCGGUUGGGGAUGGACUCGCGGCUUAUCAGCUUGUUGGUGGGGUAGUGGCUUACCAAGGCUUUGACGGGUAGCCGGCCUGAGAGGGUGACCGGCCACAUUGGGACUGAGAUACGGCCCAGACUCCUACGGGAGGCAGCAGUGGGGAAUAUUGCACAAUGGGCGGAAGCCUGAUGCAGCAACGCCGCGUGCGGGAUGACGGCCUUCGGGUUGUAAACCGCUUUCGCCUGUGACGAAGCGUGAGUGACGGUAAUGGGUAAAGAAGCACCGGCUAACUACGUGCCAGCAGCCGCGGUGAUACGUAGGGUGCGAGCGUUGUCCGGAUUUAUUGGGCGUAAAGGGCUCGUAGGUGGUUGAUCGCGUCGGAAGUGUAAUCUUGGGGCUUAACCCUGAGCGUGCUUUCGAUACGGGUUGACUUGAGGAAGGUAGGGGAGAAUGGAAUUCCUGGUGGAGCGGUGGAAUGCGCAGAUAUCAGGAGGAACACCAGUGGCGAAGGCGGUUCUCUGGGCCUUUCCUGACGCUGAGGAGCGAAAGCGUGGGGAGCGAACAGGCUUAGAUACCCUGGUAGUCCACGCUGUAAACGGUGGGUACUAGGUGUGGGGUCCAUUCCACGGGUUCCGUGCCGUAGCUAACGCUUUAAGUACCCCGCCUGGGGAGUACGGCCGCAAGGCUAAAACUCAAAGGAAUUGACGGGGCCCCGCACAAGCGGCGGAGCAUGCGGAUUAAUUCGAUGCAACGCGUAGAACCUUACCUGGGUUUGACAUGGAUCGGGGGUGCUCAGAGAUGGGUGUGCCUCUUUUGGGGUCGGUUCACAGGUGGUGCAUGGCUGUCGUCAGCUCGUGUCGUGAGAUGUUGGGUUAAGUCCCGCAACGAGCGCAACCCUUGUUCACUGUUGCCAGCACGUUAUGGUGGGGACUCAGUGGAGACCGCCGGGGUCAACUCGGAGGAAGGUGGGGAUGACGUCAAGUCAUCAUGCCCCUUAUGUCCAGGGCUUCACGCAUGCUACAAUGGCUGGUACAGAGAGUGGCGAGCCUGUGAGGGUGAGCGAAUCUCGGAAAGCCGGUCUCAGUUCGGAUUGGGGUCUGCAACUCGACCUCAUGAAGUCGGAGUCGGUAGUAAUCGCAGAUCAGCAACGCUGCGGUGAAUACGUUCCCGGGGCUUGUACACACCGCCCGUCAAGUCAUGAAAGUUGGUAACACCCGAAGCCGGUGGCCUAACCGUUGUGGGGGAGCCGUCGAAGGUGGGACUA